rnacentral:rRNA from 1 species
GUCUACAGCCAUACCACCCUGAACAUGCCUGGUCUCAUCUGAUCUCAGAAGCUAAGCAGGGUCAGGCCUGAUUACUACUACUUGGAUGGGAGAAAAUUGAAGGAGUUUUCC